AGUGAACGCUGGCGGUAGGCCUAACACAUGCAAGUCGAACGGCAGCACAGUAAGAGCUUGCUCUUACGGGUGGCGAGUGGCGGACGGGUGAGGAAUACAUCGGAAUCUACUUUUUCGUGGGGGAUAACGUAGGGAAACUUACGCUAAUACCGCAUACGACCUACGGGUGAAAGCAGGGGAUCUUCGGACCUUGCGCGAUUGAAUGAGCCGAUGUCGGAUUAGCUAGUUGGCGGGGUAAAGGCCCACCAAGGCGACGAUCCGUAGCUGGUCUGAGAGGAUGAGCAGGCACACUGGAACUGAGACACGGUCCAGACUCCUACGGGAGGCAGCAGUGGGGAAUAUUGGACAAUGGGCGCAAGCCUGAUCCAGCCAUACCGCGUGGGUGAAGAAGGCCUUCGGGUUGUAAAGCCCUUUUGUUGGGAAAGAAAAGCAGCAGGUUAAUACCCCGCUGUUCUGACGGUACCCAAAGAAUAAGCACCGGCUAACUUCGUG
rnacentral:rRNA from 1 species